GAGUAUAUUAAUUCAGAUAUUAAUGCUUGUUUUCCUCUGUUUAUGGAAUCUCAAGUUUAGAUACUUGUUUUGUAC
rfam:Brassica oleracea var. oleracea cultivar TO1000 chromosome C6, whole genome shotgun sequence